rnacentral:rRNA from 1 species
CGUUAUGGUGGGCACUCUAAGGAGACUGCCGGUGACAAACCGGAGGAAGGUGGGGAUGACGUCAAGUCAUCAUGGCCCUUACGGCCUGGGCUACACACGUGCUACAAUGGUCGGUACAAAGGGUUGCCAAGCCGCGAGGUGGAGCUAAUCCCAUAAAACCGAUCGUAGUCCGGAUCGCAGUCUGCAACUCGACUGCGUGAAGUCGGAAUCGCUAGUAAUCGUGAAUCAGAAUGUCACGGUGAAUACGUUCCCGGGCCUU